UACGGGGGGUGCAAGCGUUGUUCGGAAUCAUUGGGCGUAAAGAGCGUGUAGGCGGUUGGAUAAGUCAGAUGUGAAAGCCCGGGGCUCAACCCCGGAAGUGCAUUUGAAACUGUCCAGCUUGAGUAGGGGAGAGGAAAGCGGAAUUCCUGGUGUAGAGGUGAAAUUCGUAGAUAUCAGGAGGAACACCGGUGGCGAAGGCGGCUUUCUGGCCCUAUACUGACGCUGAGACGCGAGAGCGUGGGGAG
rnacentral:rRNA from 1 species